CAGCCAGCCAGCCGCCGUCGCACUGGUCUAGCCCUGAGAACUUCCAGGCGGCGUAGAGGUGCCCAACCUUGGCCACCACGGCGCCUCGUCGCCUGCACGCCGCGUGGGCUUCAGACAGCGUCAGCCGCCCGGGCACGAAGAACACUUGACCUGGGGAUCACAGCGGGUCACCGACCGAAAGUGGGGAUUCAUAAGAAGACGGGAUGGGGAAUGGGGAAACGGAGGAAGCACCCUGAGAAGUCACCAGAAAUCUAAAGAAUGGAGCUCCAUCUUCCUGCAAAUGAGGACCAAAGACCAGCUUGCCGUAGGAGAAACAGAGGUUAGGCACAGAAAACUCCUCAGUGGUUAAAAGUGAAAGUAUCUGGGAUGCGAACAUGAGCAAGAGAACACUUCUUUAUAGGAGAACUUGAAAAUAUGAGUAGUCAGCAGCUCCAUUGCCUACCUGUUAGAAGCUGGUCUCUUCACAGAGACGGAGGGAGCAGUGCUUAGCAGCUUUUUGUCUUGCUUGAGGAAGAGGUUCUGGAUGAAGGUUUUGCCAGGCUCCUGGGAGUUCCAAGCACCUUAAAACCCUGGGACUUGAGCACCUGUUCAACACAGUUGCUCCUUUUGCACCUUUGAGGAAAAGCUUCUGUCCUGUGCUCAAAGAAGAAGCCAAGAUGCCAAGAACGACCCCCUCCCCCAUCAGUCCACUCAGCCUUGUUAAGAGACCUGUGUCCAGCCCAGAUCUGUGGAAAUCACUAUUCUGGGACUAGGGGAAGAUGCUGGGCUUCGGAUGAGGGCUGGGAACCCAUGUAAGGCAGUGGAAUAAAGGGAGCAACCCAGGAAUGAUGACCUGGAAGAGUGCAGAAAGUGAGGUGCUUCAUUGUUUCUUGAUGCCUUUGGACGAGAGAGGUGUAGAUUGAUCGGUGGAUAUGAAGGUGUUGGACUGAUGGGGAUGGGGAUGAACUCUAAAUGUGGCUCAAAGAUCUAUAACUGCCAAGCUCGAGCUGCCUCCCUUUCCAUAUGCACCUCAUGUAAGCAGCAUCCCCAUCUCCCCCUCUCCCCACAACAGAGUACUCACCUCU